rnacentral:rRNA from 1 species
AUUGAACGCUGGCGGCAGGCUUAACACAUGCAAGUCGAGCGAGCGGCGGACGGGUGAGUAAUGCUUGGGAAACUGCCUGAUGGAGGGGGAUAACUACUGGAAACGGUAGCUAAUACCGCAUACCAUCAGAUGUGCCCAAAUGGGAUUAGUUAGUGGGUGGGGUAAAGGCUCACCUAGGCGACGAUCCCUAUCUGGUCUGAGAGGAUGACCAGCCACACUGGAACUGAGACACGGUCCAGACGCCUACGGGAGGCAGCAGUGGGGAAUAUUGCACAAUGGGCGCAAUCCUGAUACAGCCAUGCCGCGUGUGUGAAGAAGGCCUUCGGGUUGUAAAGUUCUUUCAGCUAGGAGGCGUUACCUGCAGAAGAAGCACCGGCUAACUCCGUGCCAGCCGCCGCGGUAAUUC